rnacentral:sRNA from 1 species
GCUGGGUGUGGUGGUGCAUACCUGUAAUCCCAGCGGUUUAGGAGGCUGAGGCAGGAGGAACGCAAGUUCAAAGCCAGCCUCAGCAACUUAGCAAGGCCUUACGUAAUUUAGUAAGACCCUGUCUUUA